UGGAGUCACAAGAGUUAGUGAAAGGGCAGCAAAAAAAAGGAAUGUAUUUUCUCUCAUCUUCCUCCCUUGUCUGACUGAACUCCCUAGAGAUGUGUAUACCAUGAAAUGAACUACAUCAGCCUCCACCUUCUCAAUUCCAGUUGCUGCUCCUAUAUUUUUGCUGCAUGGCCACCAAAAAUAACAAGGUAUUUGGAAAAAUAUGCACGAUUCAUGACAAUCUCCUCUUUAAGGUUUCAAAAGACGUUAAUUACUUACGUUUACAUAUUCUUGAGGAUUCCUUUUGUCCAGUUCCAGGAAAGUCCAGCAGUCAUUCUUACUGCUUGCUCCAGCAUGAAGUAGGGAAAGGGGCUGAUUGCAGCCUUCCAGGAGGAGCCAGAAGGUCCUCUCCUCAUUCUCCUUCAACACCUGGCAUUGUGCCCCCCUCCACAAACAUUUCUCUAGGAAUGUCUUAAAACCACUCUGCUUUCAAACCUGGCCUGGGAUGAAAAGGAUAUAAUUCUGAAGUUCUGACUCUUGUAAAAUGCUUCAUAAUGCUUCUGAGGCCAUAAGCUGUAGCUGUGAUCACACUGAAAUACUUGUGUACCAGUCACCAAGGUAAGAAGGACAACAGUGUUCAAAGAAAGACCACGACUGAUACAAAAAAAAUGUGAACUCUAUAAAUUCUAGUGAGGAGAUUUAUUUAAAAAAAAAAUGGCAUCAAUCCCCAUACUUGGAAGUAAAAGGCCACUUCUAAUUAGAAAGUUUAGGAUGAAAUUCCUGCGAUGGUAGGGAAUCACACUUCUGAGGCAUCUGAUAACAGAUAAUGUUAGAGACAGAGAUGAUAAAUUAACUGUAUCUCAGAGCAGACUGAGGAUAGAUAUCCUUUGUUCCCAGUUUCAAAACAAAGGAGAUGUCCACCAGCAGAAAGCAUGGAAGAUUUAUUGUAUGAGAUCAAGGGCUUACUUUGCCUGGUGCUGCUUCAGCCAGAGGCCAACAGGAAAGUCUUUAAGAAAGGAAGGAUGCAGCCUUUUUCUUGUAAGUGCUAGGAUGUUCAGAGGGAAAUAGUCACCCUUGCUAGGCAUAGGCAUCUAAUUUACACUUCCAAGUUUGGAGGAAUUCUCCCCAUGAUUCUGGAGCCCCAAGAGAGGCCUCCUCUGCUCAUGGGUACCAGGUUGUACCUAAGUACAGCAGUGUUCUUACCAUGAGAUCAUAGAAUCACAGAAACAUUUGCAUUGGAAGGACCCUUAACAGUCACCUCGUCCAACUCCCCUGCAGUGAACAGGGACACCUGCAGCUAGAUCAGGUUGGUCAGAGACCCAUCCAGCCUGACCUUGAAUGUCUUGAAGGCGUGGGGCAUCCACCAACUCUCUGGGCAAUGUUUACCUCACACUCAAAGUUUUGAUAUACUCCCUUAGGGAUAUUUAUAUGACAACACCCUGACUCUGACAUGAAACCCCUGGGCACCAUCAUACACAGAAAAUACCAUGGAUCUCUGCUAAAA
rnacentral:lncRNA from 1 species